rnacentral:lncRNA from 1 species
CAAUUGGUACUGUCCUUUUAAGACCACCUGCCAAUCAAAUUAAUCAAGUGGGAGGCGGUCAGUGUUAGCAAACAGAGAGUUUAGUACACCAAACAAGCUAGCACAAUUCCAGUGUGAUUAUACAUUACAAGGCCUAAGCGAGCACAACAUCUUUCCCUGAAUAUACUUGCUUUAAAAAGCCUGGUAUCUCGUUCUGAGGCUGGAUGCAUUGAAAGCACCUUAGCAAUGCCACAGUUCACAUGGACAAGCUGUGUGGUGCUGCAACUCUUGGGAAUCAAUAGCCAUCGUGCCAUGAACCCCAGCAGCUUCCUACAAAAAAAUCAAUAGGUAAAUAAAUACAAUCUCAAUUAAUACACAAGCUCUCGCAGCAGGUGUCUCACUGAAAGAAUUUUCUCCUUUUUUCUGAGGGGCCGUUUGUGGCUUAGCAGCCAUCAGUUGAUGUUGAUAAUGGAAGGGGCAGAGAGAGGCAGAGUAGAGGGCUCACUCUGAGAGCCCGCUGAGGGUUCAUCUCCAUGGAACCGCCCUCCUCUCAACGGCAGAGACACGCACUGACUUCUAACCAGACCUUUCUAUGAGAGUGCAAGAAAACCAUCGGCUCACUGUGUUCCUGUUUACAACCAGCUAAUGUUGAACUUUUAAAGUAUUUUUUUGCAAAAAAAAGCAUACCUUAAAAAUCUGCACAUCCUAAGGACAUUUGUGCUGGGUUUAGGUGAGUCUUUCAUGUGACUUUGUGAUGUGUUUAGUUUUUCCAUUAACAGAAAAAAAGUUAAUAAAAAAAAUGUACAAAUUAAAUAUGAAAUAAAAUGAGUUUUAUGUUCAUAAUAUUU